rnacentral:rRNA from 1 species
UACAUUGGGUGCAACCGUUGCUCGGAAUUAUUGGGCGUAAAGCGCACGUAGGCGGAUAUUUAAGUCAGGGGUGAAAUCCCAGAGCUCAACUCUGGAACUGCCUUUGAUACUGGGUAUCUCGAGUAUGGAAGAGGUGAGUGGAAUUCCGAGUGUAGAGGUGAAAUUCGUAGAUAUUCGGAGGAACACCAGUGGCGAAGGCGGCUCACUGGUCCAUUACUGACGCUGAGGUGCGAAAGCGUGGGGAGCAAACAGG